GACGUAGGAGGCGAGCGUUGUCCGGAUUCAUUGGGCGUAAAGAGCGCGCAGGCGGCUUGGUAAGUCGGAUGUGAAAUCCCGAGGCUCAACCUCGGGUCUGCAUCCGAUACUGCCCGGCUAGAGGUAGGUAGGGGAGAUCGGAAUUCCUGGUGUAGCGGUGAAAUGCGCAGAUAUCAGGAGGAACACCGGUGGCGAAGGCGGUUCUCUGGGCCUUACCUGACGCUGAGGAGCGAAAGCGUGGGGAGCAAACAGG
rnacentral:rRNA from 1 species